CCUACGGGAGGCAGCAGUGAGGAAUAUUGGUCAAUGGCCGUAAGGCUGCACCAGCCAAGUAGCGUGAGGGAAGACUGCCCUAUGGGUUGUAAACCUCUUUUAUGCGGGGAUAAAGGUGUCCACGUGUGGAUGUUUGCAGGUACCGCAUGAAUCAGGACCGGCUAAUUCCUUGCCAGCAGCCGCGGUAAUACGGAAGGUCCGGGCGUUAUCCGGAUUUAUUGGGUUUAAAGGGAGCCGAGGCCGGUCUUUCAGCGUGCCGUGAAAUUUUGGGGCGCAACCAUGAGAGUGCGGCGCGAACUGGAGACCGUGAGUGCGCGGAAGGCAGGCGGAAUUCGUGGUGUAGCGGUGAAAUGCUUAGAUAUCACGAAGAACCCCGAUUGCGAAGGCAGCCUGCCGCAGCGUUACUGACGCUGAAGCUCGAAAGCGCGGGUAUCGAACAGGAUUAGAUACCCGGGUAGUC
rnacentral:rRNA from 1 species